AAUAAUAUGCCUGAUUAAAGGAUUAUCUUGAUAGGAUAAAUCAUGUAGUUUUACUGUUAUUA
rnacentral:tRNA from 1 species